CUGCCUUAGAUAUGCUAACAAGAGACACAAUGCUAAUGGCCAUACUGAAUGGGUGAAUACCACUGGGUCCAAUUAUUAGGCAUAUUUGUGUGGUCAUCAGGAUGAGGUUCUGGCUGAAAGCCAUAUUUACUUUAAUAAGUGGCC